AACGCGAAGAACCUUACCUGGGCUUGAACCGCACAGGACCAUCUUUGGAAACAGAGACUUCCCGCAAGGGACCUGUGUAGAGGUGCUGCAUGGCUGUCGUCAGCUCGUGCCGUGAGGUGUUGGGUUAAGUCCCGCAACGAGCGCAACCCUUACUCGUAGUUGCCACCCGCAAGGGGGAACUCUACGAGGACUGCUCCGGAUAACGGAGAGGAAGGUGGGGAUGAGGUCAAGUCAGCAUGGCCUUUAUGUCCAGGGCUACACACGUGUUACAAUGCGCGCUACAAAGCGUUGCAAACCCGCGAGGGGGAGCUAAUCGCAAAAAAGCGCGCUCAGUUCGGAUUGCAGUCUGCAACUCGACUGCAUGAAGCCGGAAUCGCUAGUAAUGGCGCAUCAGAACGGCGCCGUGAAUACGUUCCCGGGCCUUGUACACACCGCGCAUA
rnacentral:rRNA from 1 species